GGAAGAGUGUACAGGAAAAAAAUCACUGGACUGGAAGAAAACUGAAUGUGGACUUGGUUACUGACUGCACUGGUCUGAUGAUGUCAGAUGAAUGUCUUCCUGGGGCAUUACAAUGGUCACUCCUUGCCACCUCAGUUGUUUCCAGCUGCACAGAUCUUUUCUCAAACAGAGGAUUAGCUCUGCAUGCUCUGUAACUCUCCUGCCAGAACCCACUGUCAGAAGGUGCAGCACUGAAAUGGGUGGGCUGGAUUCCAGCCCCCAAGCAGCCUUGCUGAUGGCUGAACCACCAGCUCAUUCUUUCUACAGAGCUGCUGUAAUCACAAGCUAAAUACUUUUAGGCCAGAAUUUUUUCCUGCCUCUAUGUGAAGCUGUGUCACUGUGAAACCAGGAAUCAAAGCUGAAGGGUGUAAAGGGAAAACAACAGAAUUGGUUGAAUCCACGAUCAAAUGAUGACAAGGACCUCCAGGGGAGAGAUGCAAUGCAAAUUGUUCCCCUUGCUAAACUUUAUAGUCAUGCACCAGAAAGCCCAGAAGGGAAUUAGACCUCAUGAGAAGUCUAAUUAAUUAUGAGUUUUAAUAACUUUGUAAAUAAAUUAAUUAUGGCUAAGACAAUACACAUAGCAGGUUUUUUUUAUCCCAAAAGGGUAAUGAAGCUUUAUGUUAAUUGGGGAACAGAGCACGAAGAUGCAGCUUCUUGUUAGAUUGGAAUACACAUUGACUAAGAUUCAGAAUUAUUCUAGCCCAGGGAUUUUCUGUAAGAUACUGUCAAGGCUAUGCAUAAGAAUAGUGUAAACAUUGCAAUUAUGCAAAUGUGGACUUGAUGCAAAUAUAACUGAAUUUAGUUUUAAGAUUUCACCAAAAAUUGAGGCACAUAAGAAUGCACAGUUUAAAUUCUGUAAGCAACUUGCAUGUGAUUAUAAAAUCAUAUCAUGAUAACCAGCUCAUAUAAUUUCAUUUGUAGUACAAAGAAAACUUAUCAUGUACUUUUUUGAGGUGACUGAUACAGGAAAAAGCAACACAGAAGUGUCUGAGUGAUCUCACCUUUAUAUGAAAGUUAACAUAUCUGUGCUCUAAAGACUAGUUUAUUCAUUUCCCAUUAAUACAUCUUUGGAUAGAAAUAAAUAAACAACAUUGGGAAUUGCAACCAGAA